ensembl:lncRNA
CAGGAGGCAGUCAAGUCAAACAUCGUCCUUCUGGAAAUAAGUUGGAUUCUGCAAUAACAAAUCAUGAAAUGUUUAAAUAUGUGAUCAUCAUGGAGAUGACGUUUCUUUAAAUGGAAUGGGAGGCACGGGAAGGGCGUUUUGGUGGAAUUUUCUGAUAAUUUCUGAAUGGACCCAAACAUCAUCGAACUCACUGCUGCCCUAGCUGCACUCUUUAUUAAAGACCUUGAUUCCUGCAGCAUCCACCAACCACUAAUGGUGAGAAGCUUUUCCUCUCCUGGCGAACGCGAAAGUGAAAGAGUGUUGAGUGUAUAAAAACUGCAUAACAGUGUAAUGACAGCAGACAUCAGUGGUGCUGUCAUUUAAGUACAUGGGUGCCAGAGGGGGCAAUAAGGUACACACACAUCACAUAGCCUGUUCAAUACGGGAAUGUUACGGCAGCGGAGGCAGAACAAAGCCGAAACGACGCCUUCGUUCUGAUGACGCAUUAUGUGUGCGACCCGCCAAGGGGGGAUUUAAAAACAACUCAAGAAAAAGAGACAAGUAAAUUAAGCAUCUAAUGAUAUUGUCCAAAAUGACGGGAAAUUGGGGUGACUUCGAGGUCCGGGAGCUCCUCGCCCUCCGAGCAUUGGACGAGAUCCACCGUCACAUUACCGGGACGGUGAAGGACGGUCCCGUAUUGGAGAAGCUUGCCAGAAUGCAUCGUGAACGGGGCUAUUCUCGAACCAAGGCGCAGGUGAUGAGCAAACUCAAGAAUUUGCGCAGAAAAUUCCACCAGGUCAACAACUAUAAUGGCAAGACGGGUAGAGGACGGUUGGACUGGACGUAUUUCGACUUGUGUCAGGCGAUCUGGGGGGAGUCCAGCCUCUGUGCCGAUCCCUCCGUUGAGAGCGGUCCACUUUCGGACACCGACGCCAGCAGUACACGGGGCGAAUCUGCGUCUAACGAUCAACCAGAAAAGCUGCCGAAAAGGCGGAAAUUAACCAAAGCCCCGGUGCUGAAGACAGAAACUGACUAUGAUGAGGAGAGGGGGGCAGAGGAUGAGGAGAGAGCACGUCUCCCCCUGAUUCCGGAACCCAGAUGGAGAGGGAGCGAGCGAGAGAGGGAGAGGGAGUGGGAAAGGGAGAGGGAGGUGGAAAGGGAGAUGGAAUGGGACGUGGAAAGGGAGAUGGAAAGGGAGAAAGAGAGGGAGAGAGAAAGGGAGAGGGAGAUGGAAAGGGAGAGAGAGCGGGAGAGAGAGAGGGAAAGGGAGAGAGAGAGGGAAAGAGAGAGGGAACGGGAGAGGGAAAGGGAGAGAGAGAGAAAGGGAGAGAGAGAGGGAAAGAGAGAGGGAGAGGGAAAGAGAGAGGGAGAGGGAGAGGGAAAGGGAGAGAGAAAGGGAGAGGGAAAGGGAGAAAGAGAGAGAAAGGGAGAGAGAGCGAGAAAGGGAGAGAGAGAGGGAGAGAGAGAGAGAGAGACUAGAACAUGCAAAAAACAUGCUAUGACGCCAUACUAAUGUGAUCAAGCAAUUAAUUUCUUCGUCUAAUUGUCACAAUCAAUAGGAAUGUUUUUUAAUAUGUACACUUAUAUAUGAUAUAUAGUAUACCAUUUUUAUAUAUUGUAGUAAUGCCCAUUCGUACACAUCUUAUUUCUUAACUUUCAAUUGUUAUAUUCCUACUCUGGAUUGGAAUGCAUUUCUUUAACCCUACGGGAUCAAUAUCAUGUUUCUGGCUCGGAUUAAAAGACCGGUCCUAAUCUGCCGUAAUGUCUUUAUGGCUAAGGGUGCUGGUGAUGGUGAUGGUGGGGACGUUUUCCUCCCCCACGCCAGUGCAGCUACACACAAUGACUGUUACUGCAGCAUGGAUUGCUUUUGUUUUUUAAACCUGCCUUCAGGAACCCAGAGAGAGGGUUUGAGAAGCAGCUCGGAACCAAUCAUAGACAGCUUCGUUGUCUUCCUCUACUGGAAAAUCCUAAACAAUGAAUAUUUAAAAUAUACCUAACUGGAUAUCAUUUGGUUAUAAUAGCCCAGUCUGGCUUUUGGUUCAGUUAUAUUGUUCUGUAUUACAAUAAAAUAUGAUUGCAUUUAAAGACUCCUUACGGUUAAUGCCCAUGUCUGGAUCUGACAUAUCAUCUCUUCUACUAACUGUAUAUUGCCAAAGGUUCGGCUGAUGGUGUGGACAUCUUCCUCCUUGAAACUUAAGCGGCGCUGUAAAAAAAUUUAUUCUCUAUUUGGAUGUGUUUCGGAGAGAAGGAAAACCACAGGGCAAAACAGAA